rnacentral:rRNA from 1 species
CCAACGGGGGGCAGCAGGCGCGAAAACUUUACAAUGCUGGCAACAGCGAUAAGGGAACCUCGAGUGCCAGGUUACAAAUCUGGCUGUCGAGAUGCCUAAAAAGCAUUUCAUAGCAAGGGCCGGGCAAGACCGGUGCCAGCCGCCGCGGUAACACCGGCGGCUCGAGGGGUAACCGUUAUUAUUGGGUCGAAAGGGUCUGUAGCCGGCCGGAUAAGUCUCUUGAGAAAUCUGGCAGCUUAACUGUCAGGCUUUCAGGGGAUACUGUGUGGCUCGAGGCCGGGAGAGGUGAGAGGUACUUCAGGGGUAGGGGUGAAAUCUUGUAAUCCUUGAAGGACCACCAGUGGCGAAGGCGUCUCACCAGAACGGACCUGACGGCAAGGGACGAAAGCUAGGGGCACGAACC